rnacentral:rRNA from 1 species
GAUGAACGCUAGCUACAGGCUUAACACAUGCAAGUCGAGGGACCGGCGCACGGGUGAGUAACACGUAUCCAACCUUCCCUUUACUCGGGGAUAGCCUUUCGAAAGAAAGAUUAAUACCCGAUAUAAAGGAUGGGGAUGCGUUCCAUUAGGUUGUUGGUGUGGUAACGGCCCACCAAGCCUUCGAUGGAUAGGGGUGCUGAGAGGAAGGAAAAACAGAAUGGAACUGAGACACGGACGAAAAUGCUAGGGGAGGGAGGAGUGAGGAAGAAAGGGAAAUGGGCGUUAGAGUGAACCAGCCAAGUAGCGGGAAGGAUGAAGGCUUAUGGGACGUAAACUACUUUUAUAAAAGAAUAGGUAUUAUAUGAAUAAGGAUCGGCUAACUCCGUGCCAGCAGCCGCGGUAAUAC